rnacentral:rRNA from 1 species
AUACGAAGGGGGCUAGCGUUGUUCGGAUUUACUGGGCGUAAAGCGCACGUAGGCGGAUUGAUAAGUUAGGGGUGAAAUCCCGAGGCUCAACCUCGGAACUGCCUCUAAUACUGUCAAUCUCGAGACCGGAAGAGGUGAGUGGAACUCCUAGUGUAGAGGUGGAAUUCGUAGAUAUUAGGAAGAACACCAGUGGCGAAGGCGGCUCACUGGUCCGGUACUGACGCUGAGGUGCGAAAGCGUGGGGAGCGAACAGGAUUAGAUACCCUAGUAGUCC